AGUCAGCCUGAGAAGAUCAGUGUGUGAGGAGGCUGAGGUUGGUUGCUCCACAUGGCUCUCACAAGCCACUCUUGGGUUCCCAUACCAAUAAUUUAGGAAUUAAAUUAUUUCACCACUUUGUAAUGAAGCUAAGUUUUACUGCCUGGGCAACUUUCUGAAGCGCAUGAAUCUGACCUUUGAAGAGUUUGUAAGUAAACUAUAUUUUAUUAUUACAGUACAGUGGUACCUCAGGUUAAGUACUUAAUUCGUUCCGGAGGUCCGUUCUUAACCUGAAGCACCACUUUAGCUAAUAGGGCCUCCUGCUGCCGCCGCACCGCCGGAGCAAGAUUUCUGUUCUCAUUCUGAAGCAAAGUUCUUAACCUGAAGCAAUAUUUCUGGGUUAGCAGAGUCUGUAACCUGAAGCAUAUGUAACCUGAAGCGUAUGUAACCCGAGGUACCACUGUAGUUCCUGCCUUGGGCUGAAACAGGUCCCUCACCCCCACUUUAAACCACUCUUUAUUGAACAAACCAUGCUUAAAGCAAAGGACAUUCAGCUGGUUGUUCUUACAGACAUUCAGAGUAACUCUCGCCUGUUUCAUCAUCCUUGGCCCUCCUUCCUCCCUUCAGCUGUUCCUCCGCUCAACAUUUCUUAAGUCUCCAUGGCACCAAACUGAUGGCAUUGUCUCACCACAUCACCAUUUCCCUUGUCACUGGUCAGUCGUGAGAGCGAGGGUGUGGGAAUCUUCUCGGCAAUCUUUGUCAGCUAUUCUCCCCUUCCUCCAAGAAGGAAACACCCACAGCCCUUUGGAGUUUGUGGUUUUUAAAAGCUAUUCUCUUCCACUUCUCCGUUCUAAAGCCAUGGUUUAGUUUUGCUUUUUCCUUUCCCCAACCAACAAUUGGUUGUUACUGGGAAUUCAUGCUUUGAGUUUAGUAACCCUCACCUAUGUUGGAGCCACCGCUUAUCUGUCCCCUAUUCCUCUACUACUGGGGCAUGUUAUUUUGCACCACCCUCCGUUAUUUUGUUUUGUGCCUCACAAUUGAAGCAGACAGUUAAUGCCCCCCCCAUCUUUCAAAACAGGACUUUGUACUCUGUGCCUUUGCUCCGCAACCCAUAUGGGCAACCCUUGGUGUUUAUAUUUCUUUCUCUGUGUUAAAAUGCAAACAUUUUCCAGCAGCACAAGUCUGUCUGGUAACAUCCCAGCCUCAUCCCAGCUGUGCAACCCUGCAGUGCGGAGCACCCACAUUUUUGAACCCCACCCCACCCUAACCAUAGAAAUAUAACAUAGCAAGUCUCCCUUUUUUUUUGCAAGGACUUUACAGUACUUGAAAACUGCAUGAGACAAAUGUAGCUUCAAAAAACUAAUCAGGAGCAGAUGUUGCAUGAGAUAUACCGGUAAACGGGGGAGGAAAUGUGUGUGUAUAUUUGUCACAUGCAGGUGUGCUGCGGAGUUAGCAGCGGCAUCAGCUUUGGGGAAAGUGCUCACUAGAGGAGCUGAGCGUUGAGAGCAGCUUUGCUUUACAGCCGCUCUCGCUUGUUGGGCGAUGAAACAAUCUAGACUUAAGCCAUAGAUAGAGAGGUGCCUAUGUUCAUACAAGACGCUAAGUCACGGUUAAGGGCAGCAAGCCAGCAACAAACUAUGGCCUAUUUUCACAAACAAACCAUAGUUAAGGCACUAACCCAUGCUGUAUUGCCUUAAAAUUUACUUAAACAAUGGCUUAAUGUGAUGUGUGAACCAGGUUACUGGGUCAGAGCGCUGGUCUACCUAGCUCUACAGUGGAUUUGAGGCUGCUGUCUUUCCUAGCCUUACCAAGAUAGCUCAGGGAUUGAAUCUGUUACCCUAUCUAUGCAGAGAACAAACUCCUUUUUUAUAUUUGUGGAUUGUUUUCUUGAGAAAAUCCUUUAAUCUUCAUAGCGUAAGAAAGUUGUAUUGCACCUGACUAGCAAUGUGGACCCCUCCUUCUGAUGCUGCAUUUUCAAACACAGGCUUUUGAUACUCACCUUGUCGUGUCACUGAAAGCAAUCAUAGUAUGAGAGAUUGCCCUUCGAAGCCUGGUGCUGAAUGUCCUAUCCUGUUUUGAGGAUUGCUAUCGAUUGGUUCGCGGGACGCGGGUGGCGCUGUGGGUAAAACCUCAGUGCCUAGGACUUGCCGAUCGUAUGGUCGGCGGUUCGAAUCCCCGCGGCGGGGUGAGCUCCCGUCGUUCGGUCCCAGCUCCUGCCCACCUAGCAGUUCGAAAGCACCCUUAAGUGCAUGUAGAUAAAUAGGUACCGCUUUCUAGCGGGAAGGUAAACGGCGUUUCCGUGUGCGGCGCUGGUGCAGGCUCGCCAGAUGCCGCUUCGUCACGCUGGCCACAUGACCCGGAAGUGUCUCCGGACAGCGCUGGCCCCCGGCCUCUUAAGCGAGAUGGGCGCGCAAGCCCAGAGUCGGUCACGACUGGCCCGUACGGGCAGGGGUACCUUUACCUUUACCUUUACCUUUUAUCGAUUGGUUCCUUUUAACAUAACAGGUGCAAGUAUUACUUGACUGCAGCUUCCAGUAGAGGCAGAUUUAGGGGAGCAUGACUGGUUGGCUGAGCCAAGAGGGUGCUGCAGCAGUGACUUAGAAUAGAAAACCUAUAAUAAUUGUGCUCAGGAGUCUCCUGAGCUCAGAACACAUCUUUGGUCAGUGGACUAUGGAAUGCAGGUGCUUUAAGUAAUCCUGGCUACAUCAUUCUGGGACUUCCUGGACCACUGCAAUGAGAACUUGCGUUUUCACUGAAUAUCUCUCAGCCUCACUUUCAAGACAGUAGCAUACGUCAUCUGACAGACGUCACUGGAACUUUAUGGGGCAAACCGACAUUGGCUGGCAUGGCCUCUCCAUUCUGCUUCUUUUCACGUAUGCCUUUUUGUGUGUCUGGAGACCACGUUCUGUGUCCGUAUGUGCACCACAAACGGGGGGUAGGCUUUAAAAGCAGUUUCCCAUGUGAGCUGCAUUUACAUUUACACAAUGCAUUUUACAUUUUCUCCCCACAGGUUUUACAUGGUGUAGUGUGUGUAGGCGAAAGCCCUGCUGUGAAGUUUGAAAAAUAGAUAUUUUUGUCACUGGGAAAAUAAGCCCUUUUAUGACUUGUCAGCUCUUGGAUGAGUUGUGUGAGGGUCUUUUUCUUUCCUUUCCUUAAAAAUAAUAAUAAUGAAAUAACAUGGAUUUAAAAUCUGUCACUGAAAGCUGUGAUAGUUGGCAGCAUUUAUACUCUGUAGCUUUAAGUUUGCCUCUGAGCAUUUGAGCAAAGUGUGGAUUCUUUUGAUGGUGUUCUGAAUAAAUGCCCUUGGUAAUCAAUGAUGCAGAUUCAGAGGGGACAAUGAACACAGUCCAUCAUUUACUAAGUGGCAACUUACCCUGUUCUGCAGUAAGCAUGUUAUAUACUGCUCAUCUGAAAAGUCGUGUAAAUGAUGUGGUGCUGACCCAACAGAUACACCUGAUCAGCAGUGCCAGCCUACUCAUGAGGCAACGUUAGGUGACGGCCUCAGGUGGCAGGAUUCAUAGGGGUAGCAGAUCCUGAUAGAGAUCUUGAUCCAGUCAUAUUGUUCCCAGUGUAGAUCUUCACUCAUGCCUUCUUCCCUGGUGGAAAAGUGGCGCCAUUUUGUGGUUCACCUCAGGUGCCAAAAUGUCUUGGGCUGGCCCUGCUGAUCAGAAACCCAGGGCCGAGUUUAUAAUAAUAAUAAUUUUAUUAUUUAUACCCUGCCUAUCGGGCUGGCUUUCCCCAACCACUCUGGAUGGCUUAUGCAUCCAACAAAGCCUUGAGUCUUUUUUUGCUAAAUCUCUGGGAACUUAAAAGUAUAUUUUAAAAGAGUUAUUAUAUUUACCAGGCAGCCCAGCCACACAGAGGAGUCUUAUGGUGGAAUCUGGCCUGUGAGCAGCCUCUGAUCAUACAUACAUCAUUUUAUUUGUCUGCCGCCUUUUCACACUUCAUACCAUGCUCCAGGCGGCUUACAGCAUGAGUAAAAUACGUAACUACAAAAGUAGACAUAAACAAUGAAACAUUUUAAAAAUGCAAAACUGAACUGAACAAUUUCAACAUAAAUCACUAC